rnacentral:rRNA from 1 species
CAGUAGCCGCGGGAAUACGUAGGUGGCAAGCGUUAUCCGGAAUUAUUGGGCGUAAAGCGCGCGUAGGCGGUUUUUUAAGUCUGAUGUGAAAGCCCACGGCUCAACCGUGGAGGGUCAUUGGAAACUGGAAAACUUGAGUGCAGAAGAGGAAAGUGGAAUUCCAUGUGUAGCGGUGAAAUGCGCAGAGAUAUGGAGGAACACCAGUGGCGAAGGCGACUUUCUGGUCUGUAACUGACGCUGAUGUGCGAAAGCGUGGGGAUCAAACAGGAUUAGAUACCACUGUAGUCCCUGUCUCUUAUAC